rnacentral:rRNA from 1 species
CCUACGGGAGGCAGCAGUGAGGAAUAUUGCACAAUGGGCGAAAGCCUGAUGCAGCGACACCGCGUGAAGGAUGAAGGUCUUAGGAUUGUAAACUUCUGUUAAGUGGGAAAAAAGACUUGUUCUGAAUAGGAACAGGGGAUGAUGGUACCACUAGAGAAAGCACCGGCUAACUUCGUGCCAGCAGCCGCGGUAAUACGAGGGGUGCAAACGUUAUUCGGAAUUACUGGGUGUAAAGGGUACGUAGACGGCUUUUUAAGUCAACUGUUAAAUUCCCCGGCUUAACUGGGGGUAGGUGGUUGAAACUAGAAGGCUAGAGGAUGGAAGAGAGAAGUGGAAUUCUCGGAGUAGCGGUAAAAUGCGUAGAUCUCGAGGGGAACACCGAUGGCGAAGGCAGCUUCUUGGUCCAUUUCUGACGUUGAGGUACGAAAGCGUGGGUAGCAAACAGGAUUAGAUACCCUUGUAGUC